rnacentral:rRNA from 1 species
GCAAGCGUUCUCCGGAAUUAUUGGGCGUAAAGCGUCCGCCGGUGGCGAUUCAAGUCUGCGGUUAAAGACUGGGGCUUAACCCUGGAAAGGCCGUGGAAACUGAAACGCUAGAGUGCAGUAGGGGUAGAGGGAAUUCCCGGUGUAGCGGUGAAAUGCGUAGAGCUCGGGAAGAACAUCGGUGGCGAAAGCGCUCUGCUGGACUGCAACUGACACUCAGGGACGAAAGCUAGGAGAGCGAAUGGG